ensembl:misc_RNA Metazoa_SRP Metazoan signal recognition particle RNA
GCUGGGCAUAGUGGUGGAUGCCCGCAGUCCCAGCUCCUCAGGAGGCUGAGGUGGGAGAAUUGCUUGAGCCCAGGGAGUUGGGCUGUAGUGAGCUGUGAUUGCACCACUGCACUCCAGCCUGGGCAACAGAGCAAGACCCUGUCUCAA